AAUCAAUGCAAAUCUAAGAGAUUAGACGUUCCCUUCGGGGACAUGGAUACAGGUGGUGCAUGGUUGUCGUCAGCUCGUGUCGUGAGAUGUUGGGUUAAGUCCCGCAACGAGCGCAACCCUUAUUAUCAGUUGCCAGCAUUAAGUUGGGCACUCUGGUGAGACUGCCGGUGACAAACCGGAGGAAGGUGGGGAUGACGUCAAAUCAUCAUGCCCCUUAUGACCUGGGCUACACACGUGCUACAAUGGAUGGUACAACGAGUUGCGAACUCGCGAGAGUAAGCUAAUCUCUUAAAGCCAUUCUCAGUUCGGAUUGUAGGCUGCAACUCGCCUACAUGAAGUCGGAAUCGCUAGUAAUCGCGGAUCAGCAUGCCGCGGUGAAUACGUUCCCGGGUCUGUAACACACCGA
rnacentral:rRNA from 2 species